rnacentral:sRNA from 2 species
AUGUACCGCUCGUACACUCCGGUUCCUGUGCGCCGUCCACGCCCACCUGACGACCGCUCGCUACGUUUUGUUAGCC